rnacentral:lncRNA from 1 species
CUUGGCCUGUGCUUGGAUGACAGACAUGCUCUUUGCAGCUUCUCCUGAACCGUGGAAACAAACAAGCUUGGCCAGAAUGGAGUAAAGGAAACCAAAGAUUAAAGAGAAUUUUAAGAGAGAGAUGAAUUAGAGAGUUGGAGAGGCCAAUUUUGUCUUUCUCAUUGUCUUGUAUUUCAAAGCAUCAUCUCAUUUGCUUUCUCCUUUUGGCAGUGGCACCGAGGUGGCUGGUCAAGCAGCUCAGACCUCUACAAGGGCCUCUGGAGGCAGAAGGGCAGUGAGGACUGGUACCAGUGGAGGGGCCUGAGAAGGUGCUCAGGGUUUGUAUUUUCUGCAGCCCACGAUUCUCCUGGAGAGCUGAAAGUGAAAAACAGGGACACCCACAGAGCCCAUAGGUGCCCAGCCUUGUUAAAUUUCCUGAGAAGACAGGACAGAGCAAUACUACCCCAUACCACGCUGCCUUCAGGGUGAAGCAUCCUCCCUCUGAGCUGGCAACUUGGGAUCCCACCAGUAACUAGGGAGAUGGGAGAAUGGGACAGUGCACUGUUUCUAUAGCUGAGACACAAACACAGCUUUCCUGCUUCAGAGUUCUUCUCCAAUUACUGUGAGUAUUAAAUGCGAUGAAAGAUGUACAGGGCAGGGCUCAUAGUAGGUAGGGAAGAGAACCAAGUUUUACUAAGAACUGGCCUACUAUGUGCCAUGCCCUAUACAUACUUCACUUUCCAAGGCAGUCAUUGUGCCUGUGCGUGCAGAGCUUUGAUGGAAUUUGUUUGAAAGUUCCUGCAAAGG